GCCAUUUUGCCAACAAACAGAAAUUAAAAUGAUAAAGAUGGCAACUUGAGUUAAAGAGACAUAUAUUUAUAACAAGAGCUCUCUAUAUUCAAAAAUCACAAUUAAAAUUAGCCUCAUUUAGGAAAGUUUCUUCAGAGGGUGGGGAAGUCUGACAGCUCAGGCUAAACAAACCCUAACCCAGGUCCAGUAAACCAAGGUAGCAUUUACUCCCAAUAACAAUCACUGCAAAUAACUGAAUUUAAUCAUGGAAGGAGAAACGCAGGUGCACCUUGACUUACAAUGGUGCUACCGCCCAUAACCCAUCGCAAAUAGAAAAUAUUGAAAGUUAAAAAUGCGUUUAACCCACCUACGCUACCCAAUGCUGAGUUUCAAUUGUUUUCCUUCCUGAUUGAUCUCUGCGGUCUCCAAGCUGCCUGGGAGCUACUAGAGAGGACCAUCCCACAUCUCUCCAUGCCAGAAAAAGAUCAAAAUUCAAAGGACAUUUUCUGCUGAAUACAUAUUAUUUUUGCAC
rnacentral:lncRNA from 1 species